rnacentral:hammerhead_ribozyme from 1 species
GUAUUGCCGAAGAGUCCCAAACUAGGGCGAAACAGCUGUCCAGUAC